GCCGAUUCAGUUCACUGUGACUGUUACACACAUGGAAUCUCCUGAUUUAUUUGACAACAAGCCUUUUAUUUGGUGUCAAAUAAAACUCUUGUUGUCAUUUAACUCAGAGAUCCUAUGUUGUUCCAUGGUCAGCUGUGCUUGCCACUGCAGAUGAUGAUGGUGCUGUGUUUGUCUGUUCAUACAAAACAAUCCUGUUGGAGAGAUGUAACCCUCUCAGACCUGGCCUUGGCUGUCCUUAUGGUUCAUUUUGCUGUGCUAGUGAGAAGUCUGUAUGCUGGGGUUUGAAACAGUGUGGGCUGAUCAGAUUGCCCUGGGUGUCCUUCUGCAGUGCAGGGGAUACAUGUCACUCCACUCAAAAGCACAUAUCCUGAGAAGCCAUGUUAGAGACCAAACCAGACGGAAGCAGAUACAUAAGACUUUCCUGAGUAAAACUCUGAGCAAGACUUUCCUGGGCAAAACUCUGACAGACCACACGUCACAAGGCUCUGAAUCACUACUCAGUGUGAUUCAUACUGUAACCUGCAUCACAUCCUCAGACUGCUUUUAUAUUACAUUCAUAUCUUAUCCUGACACUACACUAUGUCAGACAAAGUUCCACUUGAAUAAAAUGUACUUUGUAUAAGUAAGGAACAAGGCAUGAUUGGGUUUGCUAGAAACCACUGACAGGGUGGUGUGAUAGUGGUCGUGAUGGCUGUUACCACACCACAGUUGACUUACUAAUAACCCCACAUCUCAAAGUGUUAUAUUUCAAGUUGUUUUUCCAAUUUUGCAAAAUGUUUCGCUAAUUUUGUUAAUGAACAACAUAUUGAACCAUGUAUACCUACAAAUAAUGUUGUAUUUAGAAUAUCUGCAAGACAAGUUAGUUCCUGUUAUUACUUAAUGUAAUACUUUGCUCUUGUCACUUCCGAACAUUUGUCCUCUCAUCCACUUCUCUUUUUUUACUCUCUGUAAAUUAAUAGGAAACAAAUUGCAGAAAGCAUAUUAUAAUGAGUAUAUUUCUACUAAUUUGUGAAACUUUUUUUUCCAAUUUUUGUUCAAUUAAUAUAUAAAACAAAAUCAAUUUAUAAGAUUAUGUUGAU